AAUUUUGUUUGAAAAGAUAACAGCACCAAUAACAAAAUUCCAUCUGAAUGAAAAGUGUGCAGUACUAGCUGUGCAAGUGAGCUUUGGAAUGUAACACAACUGGCCAUUGAAUACAGCCUUGCAUUAAUUUGGUUGGUGUUUUAUAUUUGGAGAUUCAAAAGACAUGUUCUACCUUGUUUAGAUCCUGUGAAAUACAAAACUGUUAAUAACGUGGCAUCCCCAUGCUAAAACUUUACACCAGCCAUGUAUGAACAUACAGUAUCUAAAUACUGUUCUGCAGUUGUGUUAUGUGCAUUAAGUGUGAGUAACAUGUAGCACAGUUUCUUUUCACAGAACCCGAACUUUCCAUAUCUUUUAAAACGUUUGCUUUUCAGUAUUUUGUAUAGUAAAUAUAGAUGGUUUUGACUAAAUGCUUUAUUUAUUUAACAGCAAAAACUGUGCCAAGAGAACCCCCUGUUAAUUAAAGUUUUACUAGUUCAGAAAGUAUAUUUCCUUCUUCUUCUCGUGGAUUUCAGGAGCUUAUUGCAAUUGCUGUCAGUGCUUGCAGACCUCACUGAUGAAAGAACUUGCAUUAACGUUUUUGGGAAUAGGAUCAGAUCAUGAGCAGGACUUAAGGACUAUACAUAUGGAUUACUGUGAGGUUUAGAGCUGUGAAGAAGGACUGACAAGGGAAGGAUGGAAAGAUUUGUGAAGUGUGGGAAUAGCAAAGGACCGUCUACCAGUGGAGGAAAAAACAGCAAGGAGGAAGGAAAAUACUCCUUCUCAGGGAAUAUUUUUUACUUUUGAUGUCUUUAAUCACACUCCUUGCCGUUUGGCCAUGCCAUCUGUUAAGGCCAUAUCCCUCAAUGGCUCUGCACGUGUGACUUCUGUGAGUUUCAAUGGAAACUUUGUGUGGCUUAACUGGAUCGGCAGAUGUAAACAGAGAAACUCACUGUGAGCUAAGUCUGCUUGUCCUGUUAACCACCUCCCUGAGGAUGGAAUAAAUGGCCAGAAAUUUCUGCUUCCA
rnacentral:lncRNA from 1 species